rnacentral:tRNA from 1 species
GUGGUUGUAGCUCAGCUGGUUAGAGCGCUGGUUUGUGGCACCAGAGGUCGCCGGUUCGAACCCGGUCUCCCACCC